rnacentral:rRNA from 1 species
UAAGCAUCGGCUAACUCCGUGCCAGCAGCCGCGGUAAUACGGAGGAUGCAAGCGUUAUCCGGAUUCAUUGGGUUUAAAGGGUGCGCAGGCUGUAAAGCAAGUCAGUGGUGAAAGCCCUGGGCUUAACUCAGGGAUUGCCAUUGAAACUGUUUUACUAGAGUGUAGUAGAGGACGGCGGAAUGAGUUGUGUAGCGGUGAAAUGCAUAGAUAUAACUCAGAACACCUAUUGCGUAGGCAGCUGUCUAUACUACAACUGACGCUGAGGCACGAAAGCGUGGGGAGCGAACAGGAUUUAGAUACCCUGGUAGUCCACGCUGUAAACGAUGAUCACUCGUUGUUGGCUACUUAGUAGUCAGUGACCAAGGGAAACCGAUAAGUGAUCCACCCGGGGAGUACGUCGGCAACGAUGAAACUCAAAGGAAUUGACGGGGGCCCGCACAAGCGGAGGAACAUGUGGUUUAAUUCGAUGAUACGCGAGGAACCUUACCUGGGCUUAAAUGCUGGCUGCAUUGGAGGGAAACCUUCAUUUCCUACGGGACCGCCAGCAAGGUGCUGCAUGGUUGUCGUCAGCUCGUGCCGUGAGGUGUCGGGUUAAGUCCCAUAACGAGCGCAACCCCUAUCGCUAGUUGCCAGCAUGUAAUGGUGGGGACUCUAGCGAGACUGCCGGUGUAAACCGGAGGAAGGUGGGGAUGACGUCAAAUCAGCACGGCCCUUACGUCCAGGGCUACACACGUGUUACAAUGGCCGGUACAAAGAGCAGCCACCUGGCGACAGGGCGCUAAUCUCUAAAACCGGUCUCAGUUCGGAUCGAAGUCUGCAAUUCGACUUCG